AAAUUGAAGAGUUUGAUCAUGGCUCAGAUUGAACGCUGGCGGCAGGCCUAACACAUGCAAGUCGAACGGUAACAGGAAGCAGCUUGCUGCUUCGCUGACGAGUGGCGGACGGGUGAGUAAUGUCUGGGAAACUGCCUGAUGGAGGGGGAUAACUACUGGAAACGGUAGCUAAUACCGCAUAAUGUCGCAAGACCAAAGAGGGGGACCUUCGGGCCUCUUGCCAUCGGAUGUGCCCAGAUGGGAUUAGCUUGUUGGUGGGGUAACGGCUCACCAAGGCGACGAUCCCUAGCUGGUCUGAGAGGAUGACCAGCCACACUGGAACUGAGACACGGUCCAGACUCCUACGGGAGGCAGC
rnacentral:rRNA from 1 species